GGGAGUUUUAGCUCAGCUGGGAGAGCAUCUGCCUACAAGCAGAGGGUCAGCGGUUCGAUUCCCUGUUAACUCCCU
rnacentral:tRNA from 1 species